rnacentral:misc_RNA from 1 species
GUAGGUGAACCUGCGGAAGGAUCAUUUGAGUUCUUUUCUCCUUAUCUGGGGAUUCAAAUUCAUAAAAACAACAAAAGUCAACUGUGUGAAAGUGUCUUACAGGCGUGUGCGUUCCCACUGUUUUGCAAAAAACAGUGGGAGCGUGCUGCUGCUGCUGCCUCUCUCACUUGUUGUGUGGGGGGGUGGUUUGCUUUGCACUGUGUGCGAUGGAUAAAACACACUAUAAAGAAACAUGCCAAAAGUAUAAACAAUUCAAUAAAAUGAAACCAAAAUGAACAGUUUUAACGGUGGAUCUCUAGGCUCGC